rnacentral:rRNA from 1 species
GGAAAAGAAACCAACAGGGAUUGCCUUAGUAGCGGCGAGUGAACAGGCAAAAGCUCAGAUUUGAAAGCCUUUCGGGGCAUUGUAUUCUGAAGCCAGUUUCCUGAGUGUCGAUACUUAAGUCUUCUGGAAAGGAGCGCCAAGGAGGGUGAUAGCCCCGUGAUGUAUCUAACUCAUUGUAGGAUUCUGGCGUGGAGUCGAGUUGUUUGGGAAUGCAGCUCAAAAGGGUGGUAUGCUCCAUCUAAAGCUAAAUAUCUGUGAGAGACCGAUAGCGAACAAGUACUGUGAAGGAAAGAUGAAAAGAACUUUGAAAAGAGAGUGAAAUAGUACGUGAAAUUGUUGAAAUGGAAGGGUAGGCCGCUAACCAUGUAGAGCCGUGUUUGGGGGGAAGAUAAAAGCGGAAGAAUGUGGCUCCUCGGAGUGUUAUAGCUUCCGUCAAUAUUCCCAUCCGGGCGCGAGGAUCUCAG